rnacentral:tRNA from 1 species
GCCGCGAUAGCUCAGUUGGUAGAGCAUCUGCCCGGCAAGCGGUGUCGCCGGUUCGAUUCCGACUCGCGGCA